UUGAACGCUGGCGGCAGGCCUAACACAUGCCAGUCGAGCGGAUGAAGGGAGCUUGCUCCUGGAUUCAGCGGCGGACGGGUGAGUAAUGCCUAGGAAUCUGCCUGGUAGUGGGGGAUAACGUCCGGAAACGGGCGCUAAUACCGCAUACGUCCUGAGGGAGAAAGUGGGGGAUCUUCGGACCUCACGCUAUCAGAUGAGCCUAGGUCGGAUUAGCUAGUUGGUGGGGUAAAGGCCUAUCAAGGCGACGAUCCGUAACUGGUCUGAGAGGAUGAUCAGUCACACUGGAACUGAGACACGGUCCAGACUCCUACGGGAGGCAGCAGUGGGGAAUAUUGGACAAUGGGCGAAAGCCUGAUCCAGCCAUGCCGCGUGUGUGAAGAAGGUCUUCGGAUUGUAAAGCACUUUAAGUUGGGAGGAAGGGCAGUAAGUUAAUACCUUGCUGUUUUGACGUUACCAACAGAAUAAGCACCGGCUAACUUCGUG
rnacentral:rRNA from 1 species